rfam:Eutrema salsugineum unplaced genomic scaffold scaffold_6, whole genome shotgun sequence.
AAGCUGUGGUGAGGACAUUGAUUUUUGUAGCUGCGAAAUCGUUCCCAAGCUUCUCCAAAGCUUUCAUUUGUGUGCUGAGUGAAGCUUAAAAUUUGAUAUCUGAGCUU